rnacentral:rRNA from 1 species
CUUGGAUAACUGUGGUAAUUCUAGAGCUAAUACAUGCAAAUAGAGCUCCGACCGGAGACGGAAGGAGCGCUUUUAUUAGAUCAAAACCAAUCGGUGGCGGCUUGCCGUCACCGUACUCCUUGGUGACUCUGAAUAACUUGUUGCUGAUCGCACGGUCUCGAACCGGCGACGCAUCUUUCAAAUGUCUGCCUUAUCAACUGUCGAUGGUAGGUUCUGCGCCUACCAUGGUUGUAACGGGUAACGGGGAAUCAGGGUUCGAUUCCGGAGAGGGAGCCUGAGAAACGGCUACCACAUCCAAGGAAGGCAGCAGGCGCGCAAAUUACCCACUCCCGGCACGGGGAGGUAGUGACGAAAAAUAACGAUACGGGACUCAUCCGAGGCCCCGUAAUCGGAAUGAGUACACUCUAAACCCUUUAACGAGGAUCAAUUGGAGGGCCAGUCUGGUGCCAGCAGCCGCGGUAAUUCCAGCUCCAAUAGCGUAU